rnacentral:rRNA from 1 species
GACGAACGCUGGCGGCGUGCUUAACACAUGCAAGUCGAACGGAAAGGCCCUGCUUUUGUGGGGUGCUCGAGUGGCGAACGGGUGAGUAACACGUGAGUAACCUGCCCUUGACUUUGGGAUAACUUCAGGAAACUGGGGCUAAUACCGGAUAGGAGCUCCUGCUGCAUGGUGGGGGUUGGAAAGUUUCGGCGGUUGGGGAUGGACUCGCGGCUUAUCAGCUUGUUGGUGGGGUAGUGGCUUACCAAGGCUUUGACGGGUAGCCGGCCUGAGAGGGUGACCGGCCACAUUGGGACUGCGAUACGGCCCAGACUCCUGCGGGAGGCAGCAGUGGGGAAUAUUGCACAAUGGGCGGAAGCCUGAUGCAGCAACGCCGCGUGCGGGAUGACGGCCUUCGGGUUGUAAACCGCUUUCGCCUGUGACGAAGCGUGAGUGACGGUAAUGGGUAAAGAAGCACCGGCUAACUACGUG